rnacentral:rRNA from 1 species
AUACGAAAGGUGCAAGCGUUGUUCGGAUUUACUGGGCGUAAAGGGAGUGUAGGUUGUUUAUUAAGUCGGAUGUGAAAUCCCGGGGCUCAACCUCGGAACUGCAUUCGAUACUGAUAGGCUAGAGUUUGGGAGGGGUAAGCGGAAUUCCGUGUGUAGCAGUGAAAUGCGUAGAUAUACGGAGGAACACCUGAGGCGAAGGCGGCUUACUGGACCAAUACUGACACUGAGACUCGAAAGCGUGGGUAGCAAACAGGAUUAGAUACCCUAGUAGUCC